rnacentral:rRNA from 1 species
UUUAACGGAGAGUUUGAUCCUGGCUCAGGAUUAACGCUGGCGGCGUGCCUGACACAUGCAAGUCGAACGGGUGUUAGUUGCCCGCAAGGGUGACUAACGCUAGUGGCGGACGGGUGAGUAACACGUGGGCAACCUGCCUGAGAGUGCAGAAUAACCCUGCGAAAGCAGAGCUAAUACUGCAUGUGG